CCCUGGGUGGCUCAGUUGGCUUAGCAUCUGACUUCUGCUCAGGUCUCGAUCUCACCGUUGGUGGGUUCGAGCCCCAUCUCAGGCU
rnacentral:tRNA from 1 species